GAUGAACGCUGGCGGCGUGCCUAAUACAUGCAAGUCGAGCGAACGGACGAGAAGCUUGCUUCUCUGAUGUUAGCGGCGGACGGGUGAGUAACACGUGGAUAACCUACCUAUAAGACUGGGAUAACUUCGGGAAACCGGAGCUAAUACCGGAUAAUAUUUUGAACCGCAUGGUUCAAAAGUGAAAGACGGUCUUGCUGUCACUUAUAGAUGGAUCCGCGCUGCAUUAGAUAGUUGGUAAGGUAACGGCUUACCAAGGCAACGAUGCAUAGACGACCUGAGAGGGUGAUCGGCCACACUGGAACUGAGACACGGUCCAGACUCCUACGGGAGGCAGCAGUAGGGAAUCUUCCGCAAUGGGCGAAAGCCUGACGGAGCAACGCCGCGUGAGUGAUGAAGGUCUUCGGAUCGGAAAACUCUGUUAUUAGGGAAGAACAUAUGUGUAAGUAACUGUGCACAUCUUGACGGUACCUAAUCAGAAAGCCACGGCUAACUACGUG
rnacentral:rRNA from 1 species